GGAGUGGGAAGUGCGCUGUUGUGGAGGCAAGGACGGCGGGGGGAGGGGAAGGAGGGGCCACUCAUCCACCCGUUAGAACACUACUUUCUGCAACAAGAUUGAGCAACGAACCUGCAUUACGAAGUGUUUAAAAACUUUGGAGACUUCAAGUCAAGUGCGACGACGAAGCGUUCUCACCAUGAGCAGCGACGUCGCCAGCGUCAGCAUCUCUUGUUCCAAGUGUGUCAAGGAGAGAAAUAACGGAUUGAUUCCCACUACUGCAGUCGAGUGAGUGGCAAAAAAAGGAACCAGAAGCAGAGCACGCGAAGGUGUGAGCGGUGAGUGCACAAAAACUGCGUUGCCCUUGAGGCUGUGUGACCACGUGUAUCGUCUGGAUGGACUGGUCCUUACUGCUCUGCACGUAUGGCGCGGUAGGGCGAUAGAGAGAGACUUGCGCCAUCCACGCGGAAUAUGUCGGUGCCGAUGUUGAAGCAGCGCCGAAAUACCAAGGUGUCGUCCCGGUUCGAGAGGAUGCCGACGUUUCAAUUAUCACACCUGCUACACGCCGCUCGCCGUCGAAACCUGACGCAGAACUUUUUAUUCUCGGAUCUUCUAUUUUCUUUUUCUCUUUCUCCUUUUUUUUCUUUCUUUUGUUUUUUGUUGUUUAUGUGUCUUGAUUUGUCUGUAAACGAACUCUAAGUCUUGUGUUUUUUGUGCGAUUUGCUAUUUUAUUUUAGUCUUUGGUCAUUUAUUUUGGUUAUUGAUAUGUCUUUGGUCAUUUAUUUUGCUUAUUGAUAUUUUUUGUUGAAUUUAAUUAGGUAUUAUGUGUACCGAAAAAGGGUGUUGCAAUUAACGGCACACCCACUCGUAUGUAUGUAUGAAUAAAGAAAAAAAAAUCAAUAUAUUUAUAUAUGUACUUAAUUCACAUUUAUCUUGUUUACAUUUACAUCCAUUCAUUCAUUUCCUUAUUUGUUUAUCGAUCAGUUUAUUUAUUGCGCCAAUUCUAAAACGACCAUGCAUAUCAAUCCGACCACUAGGAAAUGAUCGAUCUCAAACUUCAGAAGUUAUCAAGUGAUCUCCUGUGUUCGCUGUAUCAACCACAACGUCCAGAGGCAAGUGUUCGUUAGACAGCGAACACCUGCAACUUUUUCGGGUGAAAGUUAUUGCUUUUGGGAUAAUAAAACAAAGUUCGACCGACAAUGAAUUAUUGAAUUUUCAUUAUUUUUCCUUGGAAAGGCUAUAAUUUUUAUCAUUGUUUAUAAGAUAAGAAUUGGAUCGUGGAUAUUAUAUCUAUUUUAACACUUGGUGUAUAUUCGUGGAAUGGUAGAAUUUAAGCUUUUGCUCGACGUUUUCGAAUUGAAACAAUCAUCCUUUUGGCAACAAGCGCACCUGUCGCGAUGUUGGCCAAUCCACGCACACCAUCACACGCCUCUCCCCACGUGUGCAGGCCCGUGGUUCGUAGUGAUCAUAUACCUCCGUCAAAUAGUCUACUAUCUUUAACAAUUCGUCACAACAAUAUAUGCCUUCAUUUGCAUA